rnacentral:misc_RNA from 1 species
GAUGAAGAACGCAGCGAAAUGCGAUAAGUAAUGUGAAUUGCAGAAUUCAGUGAAUCAUCGAAUCUUUGAACGCACAUUGCGCCCUCUGGUAUUCCGGGGGGCAUGCCUGUUCGAGCGUCAUUACAACCCUCAAGCUCUGCUUGGUAUUGGGCUCUGCCGGUCCUGGCAGGCCUCAAAGUCAGUGGCGGUGCCAUCCGGCUCCAAGCGUAGUAAUUCUUCUCGCUUCGGAGGCCGCGGUGCGUGCUAGCCAGCAACCCCCAAUUUUUUUCAGGUUGACCUCGGAUCAGGUAGGGAUACCCGCUGAACUUAAGCAUAUCAAUAAGCGGAGGA